CGCUGUUCCUGGGAUGCUCCCUUACAUAAUGACGCGACUGGCUGAAGCGCACGUCAGCGCAGACACCGCACAUGCCGCAAACCCGGGCCUUCCGAUUUCAUACAUUGCUAGACGAGAGCCUACAAUGCCAUGCCGUACGGUAUGCUCUAGUAGGGAUUACAAUACAAUGAAACGCAACCCAAUAAUAAUAAAGCAUACCUUCG
rnacentral:lncRNA from 1 species